AUUGAACGCUGGCGGAAUGCUUUACACAUGCAAGUCGAGCGGCAGCGCGGGGGCAACCCUGGCGGCGAGCGGCGAACGGGUGAGUAAUAUAUCGGAACGUACCCCGUCGUGGGGGAGUAACACAGCGAAAGCUGUGCUAAUACCGCAUACGACCUGAGGGUGAAAGCGGGGGAGUCGCAAGACCUCGCGCGAUGGGAGCGGCCGAUAUCGGAUUAGCUUGUUGGUGAGGUAAAGGCUCACCAAGGCGACGAUCCGUAGCUGGUCUGAGAGGACGACCAGCCACACUGGAACUGAGACACGGUCCAGACUCCUACGGGAGGCAGCAGUGGGGAAUUUUGGACAAUGGGGGCGAACCCUGAUCCAGCCAUUCCGCGUGAGUGAAGAAGGCCUCGGUUGUAAGACUCUUU
rnacentral:rRNA from 1 species